UAAAGGGGUAGUUCGGAAUUUUGGACAUAGGGCCUGAUUCCCAAGUGAGCAUUGGUAUUCUAUAUCACUGGAGACAGUUUUCAACACAUUUUAUUCAGUCCUUCUAGUUGCGGAGUUCUCUCGUGCUAGGCUAGCGCAAGUGAACGGGAAAAGCUAGCCUGCUAUUAAAAACAGUCUUACCCACUCCACAGUACACCCGAGGUCAAUCAAUAAUAACACCAGACUAUAGAUUUAAAUGUCUGUUUAUAGAAUAAUGUUAGAAAUAAAACCAACCUUGCAUUGCAUUGCAUUUUGAGGGAAUUGCUGGGUCUCAGCAGCAAUGUUAUAUUCCUGGUAGUAGGCUACGGCUGCGGCGGACUGAUACCUAGGUUACCGGCUCUAGUUUAUUUACCUGCCGCUGUCAAUGCUACAAACGCCGAGUACAGUGAACGAAGGAAUUAGCGUAUUCAAUUACAAAGAUAUGGCCACGUUUGGAGGGCUUAGCGAUGCAUCUGCUUUUGACGACGAUAAUGAGGAUUUUGUAGUAUCCAACGAACCGUACAUGUACGAGCCGGAAUACACGGAUAAAGAACUGAGAGAGAUGGAUGCUCAAAGGGCAGAACGAGAAAGAGCGUCUUUAGAGACCGUCCCCGCUGGAGCUACAGUAGAGAACCGGGACAGAACAACGGGAGACUGGUGGUGCCAGUGCAGAAAAUGUAUUCAAAUGCCGACAGGGGACGAAUGCUUUUGCUGCAGGGAGUGGGACUUAGUCAUCCCACAGAUGCAAGAGCUGGAGCUGGACACAAGCAUUCAGGAUCUCGAUGUGUCUGGGCAUAGCGCCCCCCGAGACAGGGCAAUCUGCAUUACGGAGCACCAGGACUUUCUACCCCUUCUAAAUCGAGGAGUGCUGGAAACAUUCUUCUCCUUUGAUAAAAUAAAUUGGAAAAGAAGACCCAGACCUGCUGGACCCAACGGCCAGUUGUCAAUGUUGCAGUACCGAUUGGUGGCUUACAGAAUCGUUCUUGAGUGGGGGUUGAAAGGAACACAGCUGGGAAGAGGAAACCGACGUGUUCUUCCAUCCUGUGUAGUGACCAGCAUCCGAAACAAAUACCCUUCGGCCGCUGGACAAUAUGUUGGAUUCAGGGAAGCACAAGAUGCUCUGAGAUUGUUUUGAACACAACACUACUGUAGUCUACUAGAAAACAUUUGCUACUUCAACAAAUCCUUUAUAUCAAACACAAAAAGAAGACAUACAUUUGGUUACAGAUGACAUUACGAUUGUUUACCGUAACAUUUUAACAACAAUGUACUCGUAUAUGGUUCAAUAAAUGUUUUGCUGUUGA